GGCACUGUGGCUAAGCAGUAAAGCGCUUGGCUUCUGAACUGGGAGUCCCAGGUUCGAAUCCUGGUGAAGACU
rnacentral:tRNA from 1 species